rnacentral:sRNA from 1 species
GUUUUUCUGAAAUAAAUACUCACUUUUACCGUCACGCUUGCCAGGGUGACUGUGCCGUACGUAUUGCGGCGGGUUGGCAGGCGGGGUAAAGGGAGGCGUAAC